UACGUAGGGGGCAAGCGUUGUCCGGAAUCAUUGGGCGUAAAGCGCGUGUAGGCGGUCCGAUAAGUCGGUUGUGAAAGUCAAGGGCUCAACCCUUGAAUGCCGACCGAUACUGUCGGGCUAGAGUCCGGAAGAGGUGAGUGGAAUUCCUGGUGUAGCGGUGAAAUGCGCAGAUAUCAGGAGGAACACCGGUGGCGAAGGCGGGUCUCUGGGCCGAUACUGACGCUGAGGAGCGAAAGCGUGGGGAGCGAACAGG
rnacentral:rRNA from 1 species